GGUAAGUUAGGGUUUGGGAGUGGGGAAGGUUGGGGAAGAUGAUGUGGGUGUAUUUUUUUUUCAUUAUUAUUUUUAAAAUAUGGUUCGGUUUUUUUGGUUCGGUUCGGUUCGGGCCUCAAAGGCCUACACAUUUAAACAACAAAUCUCAGGCUUCAACAUCUGGAAAGCCUAAGAAGAAAAAAGUGGUUGGAGUAGGUCUUUAUGUGAAUUUGGAAAGUGGAAGGCAGAUCUUUUAUGGUCACAACCAAUUGUGAUUGAUGAAGGCACAUCCAAUGAGGCAGACCCAAACACAAGAUUCUCCAUACCAAAUGAAGCUCAACUAAGGAAAGAAAGGAGAAAGAGAGGAGAAAACACCUCAACUGGAGUAUCAAUGAAGAAGAAAGAUCAGCCAAGAAACCCAUUUAAAGCACCAAGAAAACAAGCUACAAAAACUGUGGAUCCAGAGCAACCACAUAUGAGAAGCACCAGAGGACAAAAAGUCAUUUCCUAGUUUUAAGUUUAGUGUGGAAA